CAGUCGCCGCGGUAAUACGGAGGGAGCUAGCGUUGUUCGGAAUUACUGGGCGUAAAGCGCACGUAGGCGGUUAUUCAAGUCAGAGGUGAAAGCCCGGGGCUCAACCCCGGAACUGCCUUUGAAACUAGAUGACUGGAAUCUUGGAGAGGUCAGUGGAAUUCCGAGUGUAGAGGUGAAAUUCGUAGAUAUUCGGAAGAACACCAGUGGCGAAGGCGACUGACUGGACAAGUAUUGACGCUGAGGAGCGAAAGCGUGGGGAGCGAACAGGAUUAGAUACCCCGGUAGUCCCUGUCUCUUAUAC
rnacentral:rRNA from 1 species